UCAAGAAUUUUCUUAAACACAAAAUGGACUAAAUAUGACUAGUGUUUAUACUCAAGUUUGAAGAACAGCAAGAAAGAUGAGCUCUCUACUUACAGGUAAAUUGUCUUGUGAUUAUUUCCACAGAACUCUGACUUGGAUAAGUUCCCCAGAGGGCAAGACCAAGGUCAGUUUAAUCUGAAGUCUUUCGUACUUGAUAAAAAUGUCACUGUAAUGAAAACUUGACCGCAAUUAUAAAGAUGACAUCAUUAUGAUGAUGAUUAUGAUAAUAAUGAUGACGAUGAUGAUGACUUUGCCAUUGCUUUGCAGAAAAGGCUACCUAAGAUCGGAACCCUCUGAUAAUUUGUGCUGCUAUUUUAAGAUCCAGUUCCAUUCUACAACUGGCUGAAGCAUGAAGUCAACUAAAAUAAACUGAAUUGAGUGGAACUGAACUGAACUGAAGUGAAAUAAUGUGAUUUCCAGUAAACCUGACACCUUAAGGACAGAACAUGAGCCUUGCCCAUCUUCCUCCCAGAGGUCCCAGCACAAUCACCGACUCACACAAUACUCUCAGUGCAUGAGUGAUGAAUUUCACUAACAGCGACCCAUCUCUCUACAUAAUCCACUCCGGUUUCACCAGAGCUGAGAGUAUCAUGAAUUACAUCUAUAGAUAGCUGUAAGCUAAUGACCAAAGCACAUAACUGAAUUCAAACAUAUUCUUUAUUGCAGUCAGAUGUGAGAAAACAAAAUUUAGAAGACAAGCCAGAAAGGAAAUGAAGAACAUAAAGAGCCUGAAUUCUCAUCGUCAAUUUUUCCCUGACUGACUCCGUUUUCCUCUCUUCUUUCCAUUUACCUUUCUGUUCCCAUCCCCAUCAUUUUUGUAGUGUUUAUUGAGUGUCUGCUGCAUGCCAGUCAAUGUGCUGAGUACUUUUCAUGUGUUAUACCAUUUGAUCGUCACAGCAGCACACUAUUAUAAUUAUGAAUAUGAUUCCACAUACUAUAUCUAAAAUUUAACUUAAUUUUACAUAGGAGGAAGCUGAGACUUGCCCAAGACUACUCCAUUAGUAAGAUGUGAACCAAGUGAACCAUGUCUGACUCAAACCUAACCCCUGAUUCUCUGAAUCCAUAUCACCGUAGAACUCAACAGUGAAAUAUUGGGGUAGAGGUAAUGCUAUUAGUACACAAACUAUGCACAGAUUUACAAGCAACUAAACAGGAACUCAUGGCCAGGCACAAUGGUUCAUGCC
rnacentral:lncRNA from 1 species